GGAAAAUAAUAGAUAAUCACGGUCCCAGUUGUCAGUGGGUAAUAUGCAAUCCCGACAGCCGUUACCCAGAACAUGUAGAGGGCGGAAUACAAUUUGUUACAUUUCCAAAACAAAAAAGAAGUCUGGAAUAACGCAAGAAAUGGAUCAUGGACUGCAGCUGACCUCAUAUCCAGUUGAAAGUAGCUGAAGGACGGAAGCUACCACGUUAGUCAGCACCACGAAGGUUCUCGUAAUAUAAAACUGGAUGCCCUGCCUCGCCAACAUUCAUCUGAUGAUUCGGAACGAAAACCCGCCACUAUCCUGCCUCCCAGCUGCACUGUUGCAGCGGUAACCUGGGAGAUAGAAGACCUUAUCAAGUAGGCUCAGCAAACUGAACCAGCCCCUGACUCCUGUCCGCCACUCCUGCCCGCUGGCAGUCGGACCUUUCCCUCCAUCAUCAUGGAUUCCAGAACUUACCUGUCCGCCCUCCAAAGCCGUCUCCGAGCCUUUGGACCUCGCUCAGCUCUGCUGCCCAUCCGGGACCCACACUAUACAACCCCUCUAGCCGAGAUCAUCUCUACCCAGAAAAGAGCUGAAGUCAGCAGAAUCCUCCAGUUGGACCCAAACCACACCAAUAUCGUUACUGGUUUAUUAUUACAAUAAAUAUU